GAAGAGUUUGAUCAUGGCUCAGAUUGAACGCUGGCGGCAGGCCUAAUACAUGCAAGUCGAAC
rnacentral:rRNA from 1 species